rnacentral:sRNA from 2 species
UUUUAGCCCCGGGAGGAGCGGCAUCCUUUGCUUUUUUUCUAAAGAAAAAGCAAAGAUAUAGCGGAUCACGGGACUUUGA